rnacentral:rRNA from 1 species
UUGUGACUGCAUGGCUAGAGUACGGUAGAGGGGGAUGGAAUUCCGCGUGUAGCAGUGAAAUGCGUAGAUAUGCGGAGGAACACCGAUGGCGAAGGCAAUCCCCUGGACCUGUACUGACGCUCAUGCACGAAAGCGUGGGGAGCAAACAGGAUUAGAUACCCUGGUAGUCCACGCCCUAAACGAUGUCAACUGGUUGUUGGGAAUUAGUUUUCUCAGUAACGAAGCUAACGCGUGAAGUUGACCGCCUGGGGAGUACGGCCGCAAGGUUGAAACUCAAAUAAAUUGACGGGA